UUUUGUUUUUUCGUAGCAAAACUGUAAACAAAGGAUGAAAGAAAUGUCAACGAAAACUCCAACAGCCGGUGCGAACAGCUUACAGUAUUUUCGUUGUCGGUCCGAACAUGGUAUAACACUAUCUUGUGUAAAUUCGCCUUGCUAUUGAUAAAUAUCUGUAAAGAAACAAAGCUACUGUGUGGUGUAUUCAAUAUACAUUUUUUGGUGAAUUCUUUGGACAAUUGUCAAUUGCCCACAGAAAUUAUCAGGAAUUGCGGAAAGAGAUCUCUAGCUUAUAGGCAGAGUCAGCAGCAUACGUGGCGAUUUUCGGAAAAUAGUUUUCGUAGCGUUUUUGAUGUUCUUUGGUUUUGUUGACAUCGUCUUCUACCUCUUCAUAGUGAUCUUUUAGCGACUUGAUGUGUUUUCUGCAGCGAUUUAAACUAUAAAUUUUGAUUUCUUUCAAAUUUAUGAUAUAAAUGAAGUGCUUUGUGAUUUGAACAAGUUUGUGCGUUGGUUUGGUUUGCCAAGAGGCGUAAAUUUGCGUGAAAAGUGGGUGCACUUUUGCGGUCAGAAAAAAUCGAACUGUGCUGAUGCUACGUGGUUGCAAAACACUUUCUAUCAGGUAAACCAUAUUUUAUGAACACCUUUGCCUCAUUUUUAUUCAGUUUCAGUUAUUAUAUUUGAUGAUAAAUGCCAAUAUAAUCGCACUCAACCACCGCG
rnacentral:lncRNA from 1 species